GUAACGAGCGCAACCCUUGUCCUAGUUACCAGCACGUUAUGGUGGGCACUCUAAGGAGGACUGCCGGUGGACAAACCGGAGGAAGUGGGGAUGACGUCAAGUCAUCAUGGCCCUUACGGCCUGGGCUACACACGUGCUACAAUGGUCGGUACAAAGGGUUGCCAAGCCGCGAGGUGGAGCUAAUCCCAUAAAACCGAUCGUAGUCCGGAUCGCAGUCUGCAACUCGACUGCGUGAAGUCGGAAUCGCUAGUAAUCGUGAAUCAGAAUGUCACGGUGAAUACGUUCCCGGGCCUU
rnacentral:rRNA from 1 species